CGGACGGGUGAGUAAUGUCUGGGAAACUGCCCGAUGGAGGGGGAUAACUACUGGAAACGGUAGCUAAUACCGCAUAACGUCGCAAGACCAACGAGGGGGACCUUAGGGCCUCUUGCCAUCGGAUGUGCCCAGAUGGGAUUAGCUAGUAGGUGGGGUAACGGCUCACCUAGGCGACGAUCCCUAGCUGGUCUGAGAGGAUGACCAGCCACACUGGAACUGAGACACGGUCCAG
rnacentral:rRNA from 1 species